rnacentral:rRNA from 1 species
GCACGUCGAACGCGUCUUGGUUAUUGAUGUUAAGUGCUUGCAUUUAACUGAUUUAACAUUGAGACGAGUGGCGAACUGGUGAGUAACACGUGGGUAACCUGCCCUUGAAGUAGGGGAUAACACUUGGAAACAGGUGCUAAUACCGUAUAACAACCAAAACCACCUGGUUUUGGUUUAAAAGAUGGCUUCGGCUAUCACUUUAGGAUGGACCCGCGGCGUAUUAGCUUGUUGGUAAGGUAACGGCCUACCAAGGCAAUGAUACGUAGCCGACCUGAGAGGGUAAUCGGCCACAUUGGGACUGAGACACGGCCCAAACUCCUACGGGAGGCAGCAGUAGGGAAUCUUCCACAAUGGACGAAAGUCUGAUGGAGCAACGCCGCGUGAGUGAUGAAGGGUUUCGGCUCGUAAAACUCUGUUGUUGGAGAAGAACAGGUGUGAGAGUAACUGUUCACAUCUUGACGGUAUCCAACCAGAAAGCCACGGCUAACUACGUGCCAGCAGCCGCGGUAAUACGUAGGUGGCAAGCGUUGUCCGGAUUUAUUGGGCGUAAAGCGAGCGCAGGCGGUUUCUUAGGUCUGAUGUGAAAGCCUUCGGCUUAACCGGAGAAGUGCAUCGGAAACCAGGAGACUUGAGUGCAGAAGAGGACAGUGGAACUCCAUGUGUAGCGGUGAAAUGCGUAGAUAUAUGGAAGAACACCAGUGGCGAAGGCGGCUGUCUGGUCUGUAACUGACGCUGAGGCUCGAAAGCAUGGGUAGCGAACAGGAUUAGAUACCCUGGUAGUCCAUGCCGUAAACGAUGAGUGCUAAGUGUUGGAGGGUUUCCGCCCUUCAGUGCUGCAGCUAACGCAUUAAGCACUCCGCCUGGGGAGUACGACCGCAAGGUUGAAACUCAAAGGAAUUGACGGGGGCCCGCACAAGCGGUGGAGCAUGUGGUUUAAUUCGAUGCUACGCCGAAGAACCUUACCAGGGUCGUUGGGACNNUCCUUUCCUUGGGCCCAACCCCU